CGGCGGAUGCAGCCGCUUCUUCCCCGCACGCAGCAGCUCCCGGAGUUCCGCGUCCGCCGUUCCCCGGCCCCGCACCUCUACGGCUGCAGCGGCUCCGGCUCCCGGCGGCGGAAGGGCCGGGGGCUGAGCGGGGCCGCGUGCGGGGCGGGCUGCGGCUGUCCCAGGGCCGGGAGACGGCGCUUGGGCGGCACGGCGAAAGGUACAACGGCCGCCGCGGGGACGAGGACGGCGGGCACGAAGCCGCAGCGCAGCUGCGGGGCUUUGGGAGAGGCCGCGCCGCGGCCCGACGCCGGGUUGAGCCCCUGGGGCUCCCCCUCAGGGUCCCGGCCCCUCUGCAGCAGCUCCUGCAGCUUCUCCAGCUGCGUCCGAGAGACGUGGGAGCGCGCGCGGCUGCGGCAGAAGGACUCCAGGAAGGCAUCGAGGGGCACCUCGUGCGCCAGGAACCGCUGCAUCUGCGUCUCCGCCUCCGCUUCGGACGCGUCCAGCGCGGCUCGGAGCCGGCCCAGGGCGCGCUGCGGGCCGCACUCUUCCAGGUACGCCUCCAGGCGCCGCAGUUUGGCCCGGCACGCCUCGCGCACCUCGCGCAGCUCCUGGUAUUUGAUGGCCAGGGCCGCCUUCCCGUCCUCCAGCCGCGGCCGCAGCGCCAGGUUGUCCCGGGCCAGCGCGCUGUUGGCCGCCAGCCGCUCCUCCCGCUCCCGCUGCAGCGCCUGGAACUUCUUGCUGAGGCGGACGGCGCGCUGCAGCCGGGGCUCGUCCUGCAGCAGCGCCCGCAGCUGCCCCGUGCUCAGCGCCCCGAAGCAGCGCGGGGCCCCGGGGGGCGCCGGGGGCCGGGCCAUGGGCCGGGCACGGCCGGAGCCCCCCCCGCCGCCGCCGCCGCCAGCACCGGGAGCCGCA
rnacentral:lncRNA from 1 species